AGUCAGUGCAGGGCAGUCAGCGCAGGGCGGUCAGCGCAGGGCGGAGGUCUGUGUUCUCCUUGGUUAUUUCAGUCUCCACCCUGGCAGGGCUGUGGGGCAUCAGCUGAGCCCACUGGGCCUACAGCACCCUCAGGACCUCGCCACCCCGUGGGACCCACAGGGCAGCAUUCCAGGGCUUCUCCUACACAGGGGGCUCCAUUCGCCCGAAGGCCAAGGACUGCAGAGCUCAUCAACGGUGAGGGGGGCCUGGGAGGUGGGUGCCUUGGGGGUGGUCCCAACUGGGUGGGGUUGGGGAGCCUGGGGGCACCAUACGGGUAUAAGAAUUCAUUUUGGACACAGUGUGUGUCCCCUUCUGCGGAACCUUUGAGCUCAAUAGCCCAAGGGCAGGCUGGGCUCACCGCCCCUUUGGCUGUUGCCACUCUGGGUCAGUCUCCAGGGGCAAGGACAGGUUGGCAGUGUCCCCUCUCUGCCUGACUCCAGUCUGGGCAUUUCUGGAGCAUCCCGUGUGCCUGGCUCAGCCCAGCAAGCUGACAUUUGAAAGCUCACAGCUGUCCUGUAAGGUGGGUGAUUCCUGUGUCGUUUCAUGGUGAAGAAGCCAAGGCCAGGACAGAAGUGACCUGUCCCCGGGCCACAGCUGGGCAGGGGCGGAGUUGGCAUUUGAACCCAGCUGCGUGCCUCUUGAGUGCUGCUCUGUGGGCCCCGCAGCCUCCUGUCAGCUCCUUCUGGCGCCUGCUCUGUGGGUGUUCCUUCGUCUAAGGCGCCUGCAGCCCUCAGAGGGUCUGUGGGGUGGGGACAGAGCUCAGCACCCCGCAUCCACCAGCACCAUCUCCGACCCCUGUGCAGGCUUCAUGUUAGAGGUGGCAGCCAGGUCCUGCCAAUGGAAGAUGCUGGGCCUUGGAAACAGCCUGCACUGUAGGUGACCCGGCCGGCCGGGCCCAAACUGGCUGCCAAGAAAAGGGAGCGGGAAAGGAAAACAGCUCUCGGCCACAUCGCCUGUGUAACCGAAUCUGUUUUCAAAGCCCCUCGCAAUGCGGGCUCCGCAUUCGGCAGGGCAGGCACUCGCCGCCAGAUCCCCGAGGACUGCUCAGGGGGUCUUCUGGGAGGAGCUCAAAGCGAGUUUGUUUUCGGGGAGGAGGUCAUGGCACUCAAGGUCCCCGUGACUGCAGUGUUCUCAAACGUCCUGCCAUGUGCUGGGAUAAACCCACCCACCGCAGGCGUGCCCUCCGCGGGGCAGGGAGGGGAAGCAGGUUUGGGCUGUUAGGGCUGCAAGCCAAGGGGCCUGCAGGGCAUCUUAGUGAGCUGCUUUGGUGUCCCUGCAGUUGGCGACACCCAUUGUCACACCCCCUCGGCACCCUCGGUCUCCCACAUGACAGACUUACCUGGGGAUGCAAACAGGGCUGGUGAUGACCUUGGCCCUGUGCGGUGGGGUGGCCGUUUAUGAUGGGGCCUGCACUCGACUCACUUUCAGGUCUAGAUGCGGGGACCGGGGGAGGUGUCAGCUGGGCUGGGCUGGGCACGACUAGACUGUGGCCCCGUCUGCGGGAGCCCGGCCACCACCUCAGCAACGCCACCUCCUUAGGAUGUGGGGGCGGGAUUUACUCUCGAGACUCUUAGAGCCAGAGGGUGGCUGGAGGCUCAUAGCCUGGCCCAGGCAGCUGGGGGAGGGCUUUGCUGGUGCCUGGGACCCCCCACCCCCUGCAUUCUCGCCUUUGCUUUCUCUUUUGCUCUCGUCUUUAACAUCUCUCCACUCCUCCCGUCCCUCCCUCCUCUGGCCUGCCCGCUCCUUCAUUCCUUCUCUGCUCCUAACCCCUGCAUAGAGGAGCCUGGGGAGCCCGCAGCCUCCUGACCCCAUGUUCCUCUUUCUCCCCUGUCUUCCUGGAGACGUCUGCCACUGACAGGCUUGGAGCCCUGUCAAGGGGACCUGUCCUGCGCUGGGCUGUCCACGGAGGAGCAGCGUGGAGGAGCUGGGAGUGCCCAGCCUGCCUGUGGGCUGCAUUGCCGCUUCCUGCCCAGGAGCCCUGCAGCCGUCUGUCCGCCUCUGAGUAGGACAGUGGGGUUUCCUGGCCAGGAGCAGAGUUUGUCACAUUCCAGUUAUGUCUGCCCAAUGUUCAGCUUUUGGGCCAGAACCAGGGAGAUCCUGGUCCGCCCUCCCUGUCUGAGCAGCCACACGCAUGGCCUGUGCGUCCUCCACCUGAGCCCCCUUCCCGAGCCCCGGACCCUGCUGGGGCCACCAGCACCUGAGCGUGUACAGAGCAUGGAUGGGCCCCGAAACUCUCAUUUCUUGUUGCCAAAUUAAAUCCAGGCAAAUGCCAGCAUGCUU